CCUACGGGGGGCAGCAGUGAGGAAUAUUGGUCAAUGGACGAGAGUCUGAACCAGCCAAGUAGCGUGAAGGAUGACUGCCCUAUGGGUUGUAAACUUCUUUUAUAUGGGAAUAAAAUGUUCCACGUGUGGGUUUUUGUAUGUACCAUAUGAAUAAGGAUCGGCUAACUCCGUGCCAGCAGCCGCGGUAAUACGGAGGAUCCGAGCGUUAUCCGGAUUUAUUGGGUUUAAAGGGAGCGUAGGUGGAUUGUUAAGUCAGUUGUGAAAGUUUGCGGCUCAACCGUAAAAUUGCAGUUGAAACUGGCAGUCUUGAGUACAGUAGAGGUAGGCGGAAUUCGUGGUGUAGCGGUGAAAUGCUUAGAUAUCACGAAGAACUCCGAUGGCGAAGGCAGCUCACUGGACUGCAACUGACACUGAGGCUCGAAAGUGUGGGUAUCAAACAGGAUUAGAUACCCCAGUAGUC
rnacentral:rRNA from 1 species